GACGAACGCUGGCGGCGUGCCUAAUACAUGCAAGUCGAGCGGACCAAAGGGAGCUUGCUCCUGGAGGUUAGCGGCGAACGGGUGAGUAACACGUGGGCAACCUGCCUGUAAGACUGGGAUAACAUCGAGAAAUCGGUGCUAAUACCGGAUAAUAAAAAGAACUGCAUGGUUCUUUUUUGAAAGAUGGUUUCGGCUAUCACUUACAGAUGGGCCCGCGGCGCAUUAGCUAGUUGGUGAGGUAACGGCUCACCAAGGCAACGAUGCGUAGCCGACCUGAGAGGGUGAUCGGCCACACUGGGACUGAGACACGGCCCAGACUCCUACGGGAGGCAGCAGUAGGGAAUCUUCCGCAAUGGACGAAAGUCUGACGGAGCAACGCCGCGUGAGUGAUGAAGGUUUUCGGAUCGUAAAACUCUGUUGUUAGGGAAGAACAAGUGCCGUUCGAAAGGGCGGCACCUUGACGGUAUCUAACGAGAAAGCCACGGCUAACUACGUGCCAG
rnacentral:rRNA from 1 species